UAGGGAAUCUUCGGCAAUGGGGGGAACCCUGACCGAGCAACGCCGCGUGAGUGAAGAAGGUUUUCGGAUCGUAAAGCUCUGUUGUUAAGGAAGAACGAGUGUGAGAAUGGAAAGUUCAUACUGUGACGGUACUUAACCAGAAAGGGACGGCUAACUACGUGCCAGUAGCCGCGGUAAUACGUAGGUCCCGAGCGUUGUCCGGAUUUAUUGGGCGUAAAGCGAGCGCAGGCGGUUAGAUAAGUCUGAAGUUAAAGGCAGUGGCUCAACCAUUGUAGGCUUUGGAAACUGUUUAACUUGAGUGCAGAAGGGGAGAGUGUAAUUCCAUGUGUAGCGGUGAAAUGCGUAGAUAUAUGGAGGAACACCGGUGGCGAAAGCGGCUCUCUGGUCUGUAACUGACGCUGAGGCUCGAAAGCGUGGGGAGCGAACAGG
rnacentral:rRNA from 1 species